AGCCGUGUGGUGAGUACAAAGCGAACUAUUCUUUCGCCUUUUACUAAAGAAUACCGUGUAUUCGCCACUCAUAGCGGCAUACGCAUAUUUUUGGAGGGUUUCUUUUGUAGAAACCC